rnacentral:lncRNA from 1 species
CUGAAAGCCAAGGCUAAUUAUAAGGCUUCUUUGCUUUGUUACUCAAAGUGUGCAACUGGUAGGUCCUAAUUUCGAUUACCAACUUUCAACUACUUGUUUAUUUUCACCCUGUUCUUUGCUUGUUAUACUUUCAGUUUAAUAUUCAGCAUGUAAUCCCUUUCCCUUUCCUUUGUUUGUUUCUUUCAGUACUUCAUUUGAAUUCUAGCAUGUUUUAACUCCCUCCUCUUUCUCCCGGGCUGUUAUGUUUCAGUUUAAAACUCUAACAUGUUUUAUUCCCUUUUCCCUGACUCCCUUACAUGUUUUGUGCAUUUCAGUUUAAGUCCUAACCUGCUUAAUCCCUUUCCCUCAUUCCCUUGUUUUGUUAUUUCAGUAUGUUCAAUUCUUUUCCCUUGUCUUUUACCUGCUUGUGUAUUUAAAUUUCUGCAUGUUGAUCCCAUCUCCCUGUCCCUUUGAUUGUUUAUAUUCAGUAAGACUAGCAUCCCUUUCCUUUUCCUUGCCUUCCUGUUAUUUAGUGAAUUCUUGGAUCAUUUUAAUCUUGUUCUUUCAAUACCUUUAUGUGAUUUCCCUUUCCCUUUUGUCCCUGUUCUGUUUAUGAGUUUAUUUUGGAUGAGAAUGAAACUUCAUUGCCACUUCUAAUCUAGAACCAAGGCUUUUAAUUGCCUAUUCUCAGAAUGAUCCCACUCCCUUUCCCCUCUCUUAUGUGUUUGAGCAUUGACAAAGGCCUGUUGGUGUCUUAAUCACCUUCCAUGCCCUUGUCUGACUUGUUUACAAGUCUGCUCCUGUUUGUAACCUUUGUAAGGAGUCUGGGGUGUGCCAGUCUCUUUCAAUAGGCUGGGUAUGACCACUUCAUACACUGUUUCCCUCUAAUCCUCACUUUGCACUUAUUCUUAGCCCUUUAAGUUCCUACCCCCCGUUUGGUAAGACAUGCUUAGGUACCUUGGAGUCUCCUCUGAACUUGGAUGCCUUAGGGCUGGUAAUUCCACACUUGCACUAUUCCAACUAGGGUGUAAGCAAUGCCUGGGUCUCUUUAGAAUUGGAUGCCUUAGGGCUGGUAAUUCCACACUUGCACUAUUCCAAUUAGGGUAUAAGCAAUGUCUGGGCUCUUUGAAGGCCUUUGGAACUUUGUAACACUAUAGAAGAGAAAAGCCUCGGAUCUUUGGAGCUCGGAUUUGGUAAAAGGCAUAUGUUGG